CCGUAGCUUAAUUUGUCGCCGGUUCCAUUUUCCUUUUCUUUUUUUAUAGACACGCCCGGACGGAUCGAGUCGUCGAUUCCCUCUGGUAAUAAUGGACUAAGACGCGCUGCGUGCCCCCUCUCACUUCCCUAGAAACCAUGUUUUCUAAUCACCGAUGGUUCUAAGAUGAAGUUUAAUUAAUACCACAAACGAUGUACGAUUGAGUUUUCUGCUGGUUGUAGUAUUCCCCCUUGCUUAAAGAAAGAAAUGAGGUGUUGAGAGGCAUUAUUUUGGUCUUCUCUCAUGAUUGCAAGGUUUCCGGGUCUCUUCCAUGGAAUCAAAUCCUACCAGUUGACAAACACAUGUUUUGCCAAUCAAACAAGUUUAUCUUUAACUAAUUGCUUAUAGUGUUUCAACUUCGGAGUAUAAAUUGUUCA
rnacentral:lncRNA from 1 species